GGGUGAAAAGCCCGCUCGCCGGAAGACCAAGGGUUCCUGUCCAACGUUAAUCGGGGCAGGGUGAGUCGACCCCUAAGGCGAGGCCGAAAGGCGUAGUCGAUGGGAAACGGGUUAAUAUUCCCGUACUUGGUGUUACUGCGAAGGGGGGACGGAGAAGGCUAUGUUGGCCGGGCGACGGUUGUCCCGGUUUAAGCGUGUAGGUGUGUGUUCCAGGUAAAUCCGGUUCACUUUAACACUGAGGCGUGAUGACGAGGCACUACGGUGCUGAAGCAACAAAUGCCCUGCUUCCAGGAAAAGCCUCUAAGCAUCAGGUAACAUCAAAUCGUACCCCAAACCGACACAGGUGGUCAGGUAGAGAAUACCAAGGCGCUUGAGAGAACUCGGGUGAAGGAACUAGGCAAAAUGGUGCCGUAACUUCGGGAGAAGGCACGCUGACAC
rnacentral:rRNA from 2 species